AGCAGAGUUUGAUCAUGGCUCAGGACGAACGCUGGCGGCGCGCUUAACACAUGCAAGUCGAGCGAUAACCCAGGCUUCGGCCUGGGGGAAAGCGGCGAACGGGUGAGUAACACGUGGGUAAUCUGCCCUCGACAUCGGGAUAGCCCGGGGAAACCCGGAUUAAUACCGGAUAGCCCAACAGCUCUUCGGAGCGGUUGGAAAAGGUAGCUUUGGCCUCCGGUCGAGGAGGAGCCCGCGGCGGAUUAGCUUGUUGGUGAGGUAAUGGCUCACCAAGGCUCCGAUCCGUAGCUGGUCUGAGAGGACGAUCAGCCACACUGGGACUGAGACACGGCCCAGACUCCUACGGGAGGCAGCAGUGGGGAAUCUUGCGCAAUGGGCGAAAGCCUGACGCAGCGACGCCGCGUGGGGGAUGACGGCCUUCGGGUUGUAAACCUCUUUCGACCGGGACGAAGCGAAAGUGACGGUACCGGUAUAAGAAGCACCGGCCAACUACGUGCCAGCAGCCGCGGUAGUCGGCCCAAUCGCC
rnacentral:rRNA from 1 species